UACGGAGGGGGCGAGCGUUAUCCGGAAUUACUGGGCUUAAAGGGUGCGUAGGCGGCUAUGUAAGUCAGGAGUGAAAGUUUGCGGCUCAACCGUAAAAUUGCUUUUGAUACUGCAUGGCUGGAAUUAGGAUGAGGUCAGCGGAAUGUGGCAUGUAGCGGUGAAAUGCAUAGAUAUGCCAUAGAACACCAAUUGCGAAGGCAGCUCACUACCCAGAUAUUGACACUGAGGCACGAAAGCGUGGGGAUCAAACAGG
rnacentral:rRNA from 1 species